UUUACGGGAGUCAUCUCUGCCUCACACUUUCUACACUUUUACUACACCCAGAAACACCGCCAUUUACAUUCACACAUACUCAGCGAUGAGCCGUUGCCUCCCUCCGGUGACCACCCCAGCUGACUCCUCUUCGCCUCUCUCUCUCUCUCUCUGUCUCAACCCUGCUCUUCAAACACACGCCUCGUUCUCCCUCUGCGCUGCCGCUGUCCGACGUUUCUGUCGCUGCCAUCACCGGAUUCCGGCAACUGUAGGAUAGUCUUGUCUAACCCUUAUGAGAUAACAAGGACAUGGAGAAGGAGCAGGAAUAAAGCGAUUCGUAUGUCAAAGGUGUGUGGCAUUUUUGAGAUUAGGUGGUCAGACUAGCCCUUUUGCUUUUGUGGUAUAGCUGCGCAAGUCGGCUCACUAACCAAAGUUUUGCGUUUGGGUAAUUCUUUUGGAUUUGCUAAUUGUGGCAUGUAUAGGAAGUGUAAUAUAAUUGGAACAUUUUAGUUAUUUCAUACACUUCAGGUAAACAAGUAUAUUUUGUGAAUAGUUAUCCAGGUUGUGUAUAUAUAUAGAUGUUAUAUAGCCGUUUGUUUGUUUACCAAGUAAUGGAAAAUAAUUUAUCUAUAA